CCAUAUUUUAAAAGAUAUUUUUAAAUUUUAUUUUCAAAAUAAUUCUGUCUCCUUAAUAUAUUCGAGCAAAUAGGAUAGUCUUGAUUUCUAAGGCCAAGGUUCCACGUUGAGACCUUGAUGUUCCUUAAGUCGAUGAUGUAAAACUAUUUUUAUUAAUGAAAUUAGACAAGGAUGUCAUGUGGCCAGCACAAAGACCAACUGUCUUUGGAUUGUCCAAUAAGAGGUUUACAAGUGCUUCCAAAUAGUUCAUUGAUCCCAGGCUUCCAUGGGAUUUGAACUCGUGACGAAAAAUUGAGAAACUAAGCGCUUUUCCAGCUGGUUCCUUACCUUCUCUUAUUGUGUACAUCGAAAUAUGUUAAAAACUUUAACUUAGAACGUGUCACAUAAAGAAAAAAGGCAUAAAACUUUGAAUACGAUUAUAAAAUCUCUUUCCACAAGUCAUUUAAAAAAACAAGC